AGUGAACGCUGGCGGUAGGCCUAACACAUGCAAGUCGAACGGCAGCACAGUAAGAGCUUGCUCUUACGGGUGGCGAGUGGCGGACGGGUGAGGAAUACAUCGGAAUCUACUUUUUCGUGGGGGAUAACGUAGGGAAACUUACGCUAAUACCGCAUACGACCUACGGCUGAAAGCAGGGGAUCUUCGGACCUUGCGCGAUUGAAUGAGCCGAUGUCGGAUUAGCUAGUUGGCGGGGUAAAGGCCCACCAAGGCGACGAUCCGUAGCUGGUCUGAGAGGAUGAUCAGCCACACUGGAACUGAGACACGGUCCAGACUCCUACGGGAGGCAGCAGUGGGGAAUAUUGGACAAUGGGCGCAAGCCUGAUCCAGCCAUACCGCGUGGGUGAAGAAGGCCUUCGGGUUGUAAAGCCCUUUUGUUGGGAAAGAAAAGCAGCAGGUUAAUACCCCGCUGUUCUGACGGUACCCAAAGAAUAAGCACCGGCUAACUUCGUG
rnacentral:rRNA from 1 species